rnacentral:rRNA from 1 species
CGCGUAGGUGGUUUGUUAAGCGAGAUGUGAAAGCCCCGGGCUUAACCUGGGAACGGCAUUUCGAACUGGCAGGCUAGAGUGUGGUAGAGGGUAGUGGAAUUUCCUGUGUAGCGGUGAAAUGCGUAGAUAUAGGAAGGAACACCAGUGGCGAAGGCGGCUACCUGGACCAACACUGACACUGAGGUGCGAAAGCGUAGGGAGCAAACA